rnacentral:rRNA from 1 species
GACGAACGCUGGCGGCGUGCUUAACACAUGCAAGUCGAACGAUGAUCAGGAGCUUGCUCCUGUGAUUAGUGGCGAACGGGUGAGUAACACGUGAGUAACCUGCCCCUGACUCUGGGAUAAGCGUUGGAAACGACGUCUAAUACUGGAUAUGAUCACUGGCCGCAUGGUCUGGUGGUGGAAAGAUUUUUUGGUUGGGGAUGGACUCGCGGCCUAUCAGCUUGUUGGUGAGGUAAUGGCUCACCAAGGCGACGACGGGUAGCCGGCCUGAGAGGGUGACCGGCCACACUGGGACUGAGACACGGCCCAGACUCCUACGGGAGGCAGCAGUGGGGAAUAUUGCACAAUGGGCGAAAGCCUGAUGCAGCAACGCCGCGUGAGGGAUGACGGCCUUCGGGCUGUAAACCUCUUUUAGUAGGGAAGAAGCGAAAGUGACGGUACCUGCAGAAAAAGCACCGGCUAACUACGUG